rnacentral:rRNA from 1 species
AGUGAACGCUGGCGGUAGGCCUAACACAUGCAAGUCGAACGGCAGCACAGUAAGAGCUUGCUCUUACGGGUGGCGAGUGGCGGACGGGUGAGGAAUACAUCGGAAUCUACUUUUUCGUGGGGGAUAACGUAGGGAAACUUACGCUAAUACCGCAUACGACCUACGGGUGAAAGCAGGGGAUGUUCGGACCUUGCGCGAUUGAAUGAGCCGAUGUCGGAUUAGAUAGUUGGCGGGGUAAAGGCCCACCAAGGCGACGAUCCGUAGCUGGUCUGAGAGGAUGAUCAGCCACACUGGAACUGAGACACGUCCCAGACUCCGACGGGAGGCAGCAGUGGGGAAUAUUGGACAAUGGGCGCAAGCCUGAUCCAGCCAUACCGCGUGGGUGAAGAAGGCCUUCGGGUUGUAAAGCCCUUUUGUUGGGAAAGAAAAGCAGCAGGUUAAUACCCCGCUGUUCUGACGGUACCCAAAGAAUAAGCACCGGCUAACUUCGUG